AGUGAACGCUGGCGGCGUGCUUAACACAUGCAAGUCGAACGAGAACGGGUUAUAGCUUGCUAUAAUUGUCAGCUAAGUGGCGCACGGGUGAGUAAUGUAUAGGUAAUAUGCCUCUUACUAAGGGAUAACAAAUGGAAACGUUUGCUAAUACCUUAUACUCCUUUUAAACAGAAGUUUAAAAGGGAAAGAUUUAUUGGUAAGAGAUUAGCCUGUAUUGUAUCAGUUAGUUGGUGGGGUAAUGGCUUACCAAGACUAUGACACAUAACUGGUUUGAGAGGAUGAUCAGUCACAUUGGAACUGAGACACGGUCCAGACUCCUACGGGAGGCAGCAGUGGGGAAUAUUGCACAAUGGACGAAAGUCUGAUGCAGCAACGCCGCGUGGAGGAUAACACAUUUCGGUGCGUAAACUCCUUUUAUAUGAGAAGAUAAUGACGGUAUUAUAUGAAUAAGCACCGGCUAACUCCGUGCCAGCAGCCGCAGUAA
rnacentral:rRNA from 1 species